rnacentral:rRNA from 1 species
UUCCGGUUGAUCCUGCCGGACCUGACUGCUAUCGGAUUGAUACUAAGCCAUGCGAGUCUUUGCAGUAAUGCAAGGCAUACGGCUCAGUAACACGUAGUCAACUUACCCUAUGGACGAGGAUAAUCUCGGGAAACUGAGCAUAAUACUCGAUAGAUCAUAAUGCCUGGAAUGGUUUAUGGUUGAAAUGAUUCGUCGCCAUAGGAUGGGACUGCGGCCUAUCAGCUUGUUGGUGAGGUAAUGGCCCACCAAGGCGAUUACAGGUACGGGCUCUGAGAGGAGAAGCCCGGAGAUGGGUACUGAGACAAGGACCCAGGCCCUAUGGGGCGCAGCAGGCGAGAAAACUUUGCAAUGUGCGAAAGCACGACAAGGUUAAUCCGAGUGAUUUCUGCUAAAGAAAUCUUUUGCAAGUCAUAAAACCACUAGUGAAUAAGGGGUGGGCAAGUUCUGGUGUCAGCCGCCGCGGUAAAACCAGCACCUCAAGUGGUCAGGAGGAUUAUUGGGCCUAAAGCAUCCGUAGCCGGCUCUGUAAGUUUUCGGUUAAAUCCAUGUGCUCAACAUAUGGGCUGCCGAAAAUACUGCAUAGCUAGGGAGUGGGAGAGGUAGACGGUACUCGGUAGGAAGGGGUAAAAUCCUUUGAUCUAUCGAUGACCACCUGUGGCGAAGGCGGUCUACCAGAACACGUUCGACGGUGAGGGAUGAAAGCUGGGGGAGCAAACCGGAUUAGAUACCCGGGUAGUCCCAGCUGUAAACGAUGCAGACUCGAUGAUGCAUUGGCAUAUAGCCAGUGCAGUGUCGCAGGGAAGCCGUUAAGUCUGCCGCCUGGGAAGUACGUACGCAAGUAUGAAACUUAAAGGAAUUGGCGGGGGAGCACCACAAGGGGUGAAGCCUGCGGUUCAAUUGGAGUCAACGCCGGG